UUUGAUCAUGGCUCAGAAUUGAACGCUGGCUGUGCAGGCCUAACACAUGCAAGUCGAGCGGAUGACGGGAGCUUGCUCCUUGAUUCAGCGGCUGGACGGGUGAGUAAUGCCUAGGAAUCUGCCUGGUAGUGGGGGACAACGUUUCGAAAGGAACGCUAAUACCGCAUACGUCCUACGGGAGAAAGCAGGGGACCUUCGGGCCUUGCGCUAUCAGAUGAGCCUAGGUCGGAUUAGCUAGUUGGUGAGGUAAUGGCUCACCAAGGCGACGAUCCGUAACUGGUCUGAGAGGAUGAUCAGUCACACUGGAACUGAGACACGGUCCAGACUCCUACGGGAGGCAGCAGUGGGGAAUAUUGGACAAUGGGCGAAAGCCUGAUCCAGCCAUGCCGCGUGUGUGAAGAAGGUCUUCGGAUUGUAAAGCACUUUAAGUUNGGGAGGAAGGGCAGUAAGCUAAUACCUUGCUGUUUUGACGUUACCGACAGAAUAAGCACCGNGCUAACUCUGUAGCCANCAGGCCGCGGUUAUACAGAGGGUGCAAGCGUUAAUCGGAAUUACUGGG
rnacentral:rRNA from 1 species